GAUGAACGCUGGCGGCGUGCCUAAUACAUGCAAGUCGAGCGAACGGACGAGAAGCUUGCUUUUCUGAUGUUAGCGGCGGACGGGUGAGUAACACGUGGAUAACCUACCUAUAAGACUGGGAUAACUUCGGGAAACCGGAGCUAAUACCGGAUAAUAUUUUGAACCGCAUGGUUCAAAAGUGAAAGACGGUCUUGCUGUCACUUAUAGAUGGAUCCGCGCUGCAUUAGCUAGUUGGUAAGGUAACGGCUUACCAAGGCAACGAUGCAUAGCCGACCUGAGAGGGUGAUCGGCCACACUGGAACUGAGACACGGUCCAGACUCCUACCGGAGGCAGCAGUAGGGAAUCUUCCGCAAUGGGCGAAAGCCUGACGGAGCAACGCCGCGUGAGUGAUGAAGGUCUUCGGAUCGUAAAACUCUGUUAUUAGGGAAGAACAUAUGUGUAAGUAACUGUGCACAUCUUGACGGUACCUAAUCAGAAAGCCACGGCUAACUACGUG
rnacentral:rRNA from 1 species